ACGAAAAGUACACAUUGAUUCUUGGCGCACUCUACCAGGGUAUUAGUAUACUACUCAUUUUAAUUUUAAUGAUAGUAUACAUUUUUGACAUUUGAUAAUAAAUUAUAAGUAAAUUAAAAAAUCUAAUAUUUUUGUAUUUUUUUUUAUAGUACUAUAGUAGGUAUAUUUUAAUAUUUAUGAAACUGUAUAAAAUCAGUUGUGUUAGAUUUUUUUCACCAAGAACUAAAAGUUAGAAUAUUAAGACAACAUAGAAAAUGUAUUGUUAUUAAUACCGGGAUAAUCAAUAGGUUUUGGUCCACCUUGACAUGUCAAUUUCCAAUCAAAAGUUGAAUACAAAACUUAUUGACAUAAAAGUCAAUUGAUAAAUCAUCUUUGAAAACUAAUUGUUUCUUAUUUUCUUCGAUGUUGGAAGUUAUUAAUUAAGGACUUAUAGGGAUUUUAUCAAUGUCUUUUCACUUGGCAAUGGUAGAGCAUCUUUAGUACGCUUCUACACCCUUCUUUUAAAAUGGAAUUUUCAUAUGUGUAGACGUCAUUCUCAUCGAAGUGGUCCGGAGUUGCAGAGUGGAGCAAUCGGAAUGAAGGCGGGGGAGAGAAUACGAAGUAGUAAUUUUUGCACUGUGCCAUGUUCGAACGCGAUUGCGCGUAUCAUGGUUAGCUGUGUGAUCAAAUGAUCAUGAAAUCAUCGCUCUGUCCAAAUUUGAGAUUGCUUGAAAAUAAUAGUAUUUCUUUAUUUUAUUUUUUUCUUUAGUUAUAUAGAAACCAUCGCCAUAUUUGAAAAUUGGAUCAUUUUAGUUAUUCCCAAAGGUGGAAAAAAUCACAAAUCAUCGUAAUUCAAUACAUCCAUCGCUCCGCUAAGAAUUUUAAACCAAUUUAAAUUUAAAUUUAAUAAAUACAAUUUCAAGCAUUUUUAUUUCAAUAAACAAAUAACAUUUUCUAUUUUGUCGUAUAAGUUGUGAUUACUCAAAGGAUAUAUUCUAUUAUAAUUAUAAUUUAUUAAGAUUAACAGAGGAUGAAAGAUUAGACAAUUUCUUAAUGGAAUAUUUAUUCAAAUUUAAAAUGUUGGUAUUAUUACAAUAAUAAAUGGUGACUAAAAUUAAAUUUCUAAGCUGAUACAAAACAAUGAAACAAUGUUAACAUAUUAUAAAAUGACUGAUACAAGUGAUACUGUUCAUGGUUACACUAUGUUGUUCAAUAUGAUAAAAUAUUUUAUUUGUAUUAACUUAAAAUAUGUAUCAUAAAAACAUAUAUAAUACUUGUUAUACUAUACUUACUAUUAAACACAAGUCUUAUUGAAUCUAUUGAAAAUAAUUUUCAGUAAUGAUACAAUUUUAUAAUAAUUUAUAAAUAAAAUUCUAUUUACUAUUUAUAGAUUUAUACAAAAACAUGAGAUAAACGUGUCCACUAAAUUGUUGUUGAUAUUAUUAAAGCAAAUUCUAAAUUUAUGUUAAUUUAUGAACCACGAAACCAUGUUUUUGUAUUUUAUGAUAAUGUUAUAUACUGUAUAUUAUUGAAUUAUUUACUACUUUCUAACUUGUACCGGUAGCGAGAACUUUUUUAUCGAUAUUAAUUUAUAAUUAUAUAUACUAAAAAUUGCUUUUCCGGCAUUCCUACUAAAUUUAAAAAAUAUUAAAUACAAGACUAAUCAAACAAAUCGUAUGUUUUACCUGUACAGGCUAAAAAUAUUAAAAAUAGUAAAUAAAACUAAUAUUUUCUGAAUUGCAUAGUAAUGUACGUCAUUUAAUCUAUAUUCAAAGUAUCACUAGAUUAAAAUAAUAAUAAUAUUAUUUUUGUGAUUUGUGUACAUAUGUAAAAUAGUGAUUGUAACUAAAUAAUUAAAAUACAUAUUUAUUAUAAAUCAGGUAGAAUAUGUCAAUUAGCAUAGUAAAGGGGCCAUUAUGAGCUUACUUUUAACAUCUGUAAAUUUAUAAACGUAAUUAGUUGAUGAGAGUUAUGAAUCGUUAAUAUUAUUAAAAUAUUAGUUAUUAUACAAUACAAUUAUAUAUUUAUUAUAUUUUUUAACAAAAAAUACUGUCUUUUAAUUUUUAAAUUGUUGAAAUAAAUAUAUUUGUAAAUUGUGUACCUAUACGAGCUAUAACUAUUAUUAACUAUAUUAAUAUUAGUGAAUAUGAACUAACUAUCAAUAAGCUAAAAAAAAUAAUAUGCUUCUUUGAAUGGUUUAAGAGUUUGUUUAUUUAUUGACAACGAUGUAUUAUUUCAUUCUACAAAAAUACCUAUAUUGUUUUUGAAAUUUAUAUUAUAUCAUAAAAGUAUAUUUUUUGUAAUAAAUAAAUGUAUUGUAAUAAUAUGUAAA